AUUGAACGCUGGCGGCAUGCCUUACACAUGCAAGUCGAACGGCAGCACGGGAGCAAUCCUGGUGGCGAGUGGCGAACGGGUGAGUAAUAUAUCGGAACGUGCCCAGUCGUGGGGGAUAACGUAGCGAAAGCUACGCUAAUACCGCAUACGAUCUACGGAUGAAAGCGGGGGAUCGCAAGACCUCGCGCGAUUGGAGCGGCCGAUAUCAGAUUAGGUAGUUGGUGAGGUAAAGGCUCACCAAGCCGACGAUCUGUAGCUGGUCUGAGAGGACGACCAGCCACACUGGGACUGAGACACGGCCCAGACUCCUACGGGAGGCAGCAGUGGGGAAUUUUGGACAAUGGGCGCAAGCCUGAUCCAGCAAUGCCGCGUGCAGGAUGAAGGCCUUCGGUUGUAAACUGACUUUGUUACGGUAACGAACGGUAGAGCUCUAAUAC
rnacentral:rRNA from 1 species